rnacentral:misc_RNA from 1 species
CGCGCAUGAUCGAGCCGGUCGAGCAGAUCUUCGGCGAGAAGGUCUACAUGCAUCAGUACAAGAUCAACGCGAAGUCCGCCUUCACCGGCGACGUCUGGCAAUGGCAUCAGGAUUACGGCACCUGGAAGCGCGACGACGGCAUGCCACAGCCGCUUGCGAUGAACAUCGCGGUCUUCCUCGAUGAAGUGAUGCCGAUCAACGGCCCCCUGNNNNNNNNNNNCGAGAAGCCAGAACGCCGGCGACCUCAAGGCAUCGCACGAUCUUGCGACCACGUCGUAUCC